rnacentral:rRNA from 1 species
AGAGUUUGAUCCUGGCUCAGGAUGAACGCUAGCGGCAGGCUUAAUACAUGCAAGUUGAGGGGCAGCAUGAUAUACGCGAGUAUAUUGAUGGCGACCGGCGGACGGGUGAGUAAUAGGUAGGAGACCUACCUCAUACAGGGGGAUAGCAUAGAGAAAUCUGUGGUAAUACCCCAUGAGGUUAUAUGAAUAGAGGCAUAUAAUCAAAGCAUAAGCGAUUAUGCGGUAUGAGAGGGGCCUACUGACCAUUAGCUAGUUGGUGAGGUAAGGGCUCACCAAGGCGAAGAUGGUUAGGGGUUUUGAGAGAGAGACCCCCCACAUUGGAACUGAGAGACGGUCCAGACUCCUACGGGAGGCAGCAGUAGGGAAUAUUGGGCAAUGGGCGAAAGCCUGACCCAGCCAUGCCGCGUGAAGGAAGACGGCCUUAUGGGUUGUAAACUUCUUUACUACGCGAAUAGAGGUUAGUACGAGAUACUAAUAGGAAGGUAGUGUAGUAAAAAGCACCGGCUAACUCCGUGCCAGCAGCCGCGGUAAUACGGAGGGUGCAAGCGUUAUUCGGAAUUACUGGGUUUAAAGGGUGCGUAGGCGGUUAAAUAAGUUGUCAGUGAAAGGCUACGGCUCAACUGUAGUAGUGCUGGCGAUACUGUAUAACUAAGGACAUGGGAGGGGUACCUGGAAUGUGUGGUGUAGCGGUGAAAUGCGUAGAUAUCACACAGAACACCGGAGGCAAAGGCGGGGUACUAGACCAUAGUUGACGCUGAGGCACGAAAGCGUGGGGAUCAAACAGGAUUAGAUACCCUGGUAGUCCACGCCGUAAACGAUGAUCACUCGCUGUUGGCGAUAUAUUGUCAGUGGCUAAGCAAAAGU